rnacentral:rRNA from 1 species
UACAGAGGUCCCAAGCGUUGUUCGGAUUCACUGGGCGUAAAGCGUGCGCAGGCGGUUGUGCAAGACAGAUGUGAAAUCCCCGGGCUCAACCUGGGAACUGCAUUUGUGACUGCACGGCUAGAGUGUGUCAGAGGGGGGUAGAAUUCCACGUGUAGCAGUGAAAUGCGUAGAUAUGUGGAGGAAUACCGAUGGCGAAGGCAGCCCCCUGGGAUAACACUGACGCUCAUGCACGAAAGCGUGGGGAGCAAACAGG